rnacentral:rRNA from 1 species
GACGAACGCUGGCGGCGUGCCUAAUACAUGCAAGUAGAACGCUGAAGGAGGAGCUUGCUUCUCUGGAUGAGUUGCGAACGGGUGAGUAACGCGUAGGUAACCUGCCUGGUAGCGGGGGAUAACUAUUGGAAACGAUAGCUAAUACCGCAUAAUAGUAGAUGUUGCAUGACAUUUGCUUAAAAGGUGCAAUUGCAUCACUACCAGAUGGACCUGCGUUGUAUUAGCUAGUUGGUGGGGUAACGGCUCACCAAGGCGACGAUACAUAGCCGACCUGAGAGGGUGAUCGGCCACACUGGGACUGAGACACGGCCCAGACUCCUACGGGAGGCAGCAGUAGGGAAUCUUCGGCAAUGGACGGAAGUCUGACCGAGCAACGCCGCGUGAGUGAAGAAGGUUUUCGGAUCGUAAAGCUCUGUUGUGAGAGAAGAACGAGUGUGAGAGUGGAAAGUUCACACUGUGACGGUAUCUUACCAGAAAGGGACGGCUAACUACGUG